CCGGCCUGCUGAAAGCAUUCGGUGCCACGGCCUGAAUGGUUUCCCGACAGAGAGGAUGCCCAUCAUGGCACUCACCGUUGAAGAAAAAGCCCAGAUCGUCAACGAGUACAAGCAAGCUGAA
rfam:Pseudomonadales bacterium GWC1_66_9 gwc1_scaffold_2457, whole genome shotgun sequence.